GUAACACGUGACUAACCGUGCCUUCCGAGUGGGGGAUAACCUCGGGAAACCGGGGCUAAUAUCCGCAUAAUGCCGGGUAGGUUCAAGAAGGAAGCAAUUCGCUUGACAUGACGGGGGUCGCUGGCUGAUUAGCUAGUUGGCGGGGUAACGGACCCACCAAGGCGAUGAUCGGUAGCCGGCCUGAGAGGGCUGCAGGGCUCACACUGGAAACUAGAAACAAGGUCCAGACUCCAUACGGGAGGCAGCAGUGAGGAAUUUUGCGCAAUGGGGGAAACCCUGACGCAGCAACGCCGCGUGGAGGAUGAAGUCCCUUGGGACGUAAACUCCUUUCGACCGGGACGAUAAUGACGGUACCGGUGGAAGAAGCCCCGGCUAACUUCGUGCCAGCAGCCGCGG
rnacentral:rRNA from 1 species